rnacentral:rRNA from 1 species
AAUCAACGCUGGCGGCGUGCCUCAGACAUGCAAGUCGAACGAUUAAGACUCCCUUCGGGGAGUGCAUAAAGCGGCGCACGGGUGAGUAACACGUAAGUAAUCUACCUUCGAGUGGGGAAUAACAUCGGGAAACCGAUGCUAAUACCGCAUAACGCAGCGGCACCUAAUGGUGACAGUUGUUAAAGGAGCAAUUCGCUUGAAGAGGAGCUUGCGGCAGAUUAGCUAGUUGGUAAGGUAAUGGCUUACCAAGGCUACGAUCUGUAUCCGGUCUAAGAGGACGGUCGGACACACUGACACUGAAUAACGGGUCAGACUCCUACGGGAGGCAGCAGUCGGGAAUUUUGGGCAAUGGGCGAAAGCCUGACCCAGCAACGCCGCGUGAAGGAUGAAGUUUUUCGGAAUGUAAACUUCGAAAGAAUGGGAAGAAUAAAUGACGGUACCAUUUAUAAGGUCCGGCUAACUACGUGCCAGCAGCCGCCGUAAUAC